GACAGAGGGUGCAAACGUUGUUCGGAAUUACUGGGCGUAAAGCGCACGUAGGCGGAUUGUUAAGUCAGGGGUGAAAUCCUGGAGCUCAACUCCAGAACUGCCUUUGAUACUGGCGAUCUCGAGUCCGGGAGAGGUGAGUGGAACUGCGAGUGUAGAGGUGAAAUUCGUAGAUAUUCGCAAGAACACCAGUGGCGAAGGCGGCUCACUGGCCCGAUACUGACGCUGAGGCACGAAAGCGUGGGGAGCAAACAGG
rnacentral:rRNA from 1 species